UACAGAGGGGGCAAGCGUUGUUCGGAAUUACUGGGCGUAAAUGGCGCGUAGGCGGCCUUCUAAGUCGAACGUGAAAUCCCCGGGCUCAACCCGGGAACUGCGUCCGAUACUGGAAGGCUUGAAUCCGGGAGAGGGAUGCGGAAUUCCAGGUGUAGCGGUGAAAUGCGUAGAUAUCUGGAGGAACACCGGUGGCGAAGGCGGCAUCCUGGACCGGUAUUGACGCUGAGGCGCGAAAGCCAGGGGAGCAAACGGG
rnacentral:rRNA from 1 species